rnacentral:rRNA from 1 species
AGGUCAUGCAGCUAGUCUGACGGAGCAUACCGCGUGAGGGAUGACGGCCUAUGGGUUGUAAACCUCUUUUUUCAGGGAGGAAUUUCUGACGUGUACCUGAAAAAUAACCAUCGGCUAAUUCCGUGCCACCACCCGCGGUAAAACGGAGGAUGCAAGUGUUUUCCGGAAUCCCUGGGCGUAAAGCGUCGGUAGGUGGUUUAAUAAUUCGACUGUUAAAUCUUGAGGCUCAACUUCAAAAUCGCAUUCAAAACUAUUAAACUAGAGUAUAGUAGGGGUAAAGGGAAUUUCCAGUGGAGCGGUGAAAUGCGUAAAUUUUGGAAAAAACCCCGAUGGCAAAGGCCCUUUACUGGGCUAUUACUAACCCUCAAAAACAAAAGCUAGGGUACCAAAGGGGAUUAAUUACCCCCGGUAUUCAA